GACGAACGCUGGCGGCGUGCUUAACACAUGCAAGUCGAACGGUGAAAGCGGAGCUUGCUCCGCUGGAUCAGUGGCGAACGGGUGAGUAACACGUGGGCAACCUGCCCCUCACUUCGGGAUAACUCCGGGAAACCGGGGCUAAUACCGGAUAUGACCUCCUUGGGCAUCCUUGGAGGUGGAAAGUUUUUCGGUGAGGGAUGGGCCCGCGGCCUAUCAGCUUGUUGGUGAGGUAGUGGCUCACCAAGGCGACGACGGGUAGCCGGCCUGAGAGGGCGACCGGCCACACUGGGACUGAGGGACGGCCCAGACUCCUACGGGAGGCAGCAGUGGGGAAUAUUGCGCAAUGGGCGAAAGCCUGACGCAGCAACGCCGCGUGCGGGAUGACGGCCUUCGGGUUGUAAACCGCUUUCAGCAGGGAAGAAGCCGCAAGGUGACGGUACCUGCAGAAGAAGCACCGGCUAACUACGUGCCAGCAGCCGCCGUAA
rnacentral:rRNA from 1 species